GCGGGUUAUUCUCGAACUGGAAUAUCUCAAAACCGGAAUAUGACAAAGAAAGAGACGAAAAGGAUGCUUAAAAUAUAUGGUAUUCCGAUCUAUUCCAAUGCGGCCUAUCUCCGAACAGGCCAUUGAAGAAUAGGAAUUUCUUGAACCGGCUAAUCACAUGGCGGACAACCAUUUAGAAGAUUUUCCUGAAAUGAAAAAAAACAUAUUUAUGUACGCACUAAAAAUCAAAGAUGCAGAGAGCUUUGUAUCCUAAAAAAAAUUAAGAUUUGAGUUUGUUUUUGUUAGUUCUUAGAAACAUAUCUUAGCAAUAAAAUCUUAUAAAUACCAGUCAAGUUUUUGAAAAAAAAUGAUAGUAACGAAAAAAAUAAUAUGAAAAAUUGGGGAAAAAUAAAAUAAAAAAAUUACAAACAUAGUAACUAUAAACUAACAAAAAGGACAACACCACCAACACCUACAUCUAAUGAUUUAAAAAGACAAGUUGUGUACAGAUUAUAAACAAAAUUGAACCGGACAAUAAUCAAACAAAACCGUGCACUAAAAAACCCGAACAAGAAACUAAAUCACCAGAAAUGAACCAGGAAAAAAAAUCGAACCAGACAAAAGGGACCCAAAACCACAACCAAAAUAGUCGCAAAUCGGUAAAAAAAUCGACUCAAAAUAAUGAGGACAAACUAAACUAAAACUAAAAUAAUACCAAACCAUGCUCGACGUACCCAAAUCGAAUCGAAACGAACCAUACCAACUUGACAUGAAACCAAUCAACCCACUAAAAUUGAGUUGAUACAGACCGAGACAAAGACCGACCAAGUUCAUUAACUAUUAAAAUAGGACCAUUAUCCCGAGCACCAAGACCCAAAACCUAAAACUAAAAACAAACCCACUAUCACACACCAAAAAGAACAGGGAACCUAUCCCACAUGACAAACAACAAGACUAAUACCGAUGACCCAAAAAAGAAGCACACUAUACCUCGAACCCAACCCGACACAAAACACCGAAAACUACAAAACUUAGGCGGAACACAAGCCCAAACGAUAAAAUCGAAACCCACUAACCCAAGCCACAAUAGUUUUUGCUAAGCAAAAAAUAAAAAGAAAUAGAUUGCAAGACAAUAGCUAAAAUAGUAAACAGAGGGAAACACGAAAUUCAAAAAUAAAGAACAUAAACAAGAAGAUAAACAAACAAAAAGAACAACCAAACCAAGAUCAAUAGACUUGAAACAUGAAACGAAACAGUGAAUUGUAAAGUAGAAAACAAAAAUCCUAAAAAACACCCACUGAAAUACGAGUAAAAAGCAUAGAUUUGAAACUACAACAGAAAUGAUAAGGCAAAAUAAAAAUUUGAACUGAAGAUUCAUACCUGGAUAUCAGUCUACAAUGAAGCAGGGGAUUUUAAUAUCAAUAAAAAUAGAAACGACAGAGAAAAACUUUGGGUCUUUCCCUCUCACAAAAACUUUCUUCCUACUGUCACUUGCGUGGGUGUUUUUUUGGCCUGUGAUUACCCAAAUCUAAAAAAGAAUGAUAGGAAAAAAUAGAAAGGAGGCCGAGAGAGAUAGUGGGAGAAUUAGCUGGGGGAGCUAUGGAAUGAAGAGAAUAAAGGGGAAAGAAACAUUAGAAAGGAAGGCAAAACAAGAGAGAAUAAAAGGGGAAUGAAACG
rnacentral:lncRNA from 1 species